AUGCUGCAGCACCUUGAUCUGCAAGAUGAGGAGCUUGAUGAUGUGAUUGUGGGGGAGGAAGAGGUGAGAAAGUUUGAGGCAGAUGCGCGCUGGAUGGCUAUCAGGAAGCUGCAUACAUCGCGACCCUUUAGUUCCACUGCUAUGUUCGAGACUCUGAAGUCUGUUUGGGGCCUAGCUCAUGUGCCGAAAUUCAGAGAAGCGGGGGACAACCUGUUCGUGUUCCAGAUGGAUUGCUUGGGCGACUGGAAGAAGGUUGUUUGUGGUGGUCCGUGGCUGUUCAAGGGGAUGGGUCUCUUAAUUGAGGAUUAUGAUGGCAAGGCGGAACCAACCUCGGUGGUCUUCGAUGGUCUCUAUGUCUGGGCUCAGAUCCAUAGUAUCCCGGAGCUGUACCGUAAGGCGGAAGUGGUGGACCAAUUGGCUCGCCAUAUCGGGAGAGUGAAGGAAACCCAACUCACAUCAAAGCUAUACUAUGAAGGGGAU
rnacentral:rRNA from 1 species